AAAGCGUAAUAGCUCACUGGUCGAGUCGGCCUGCGCGGAAGAUGUAACGGGGCUAAACCAUGCACCGAAGCUGCGGCAGCGAACGUAUCACCCAAGACAACUUUACGGAGUUGACGAUUGACGGAGCGAAGCGACGUCAAAGCGUUCAUUAAAGUCGAGUUGGCUUAGGGAUACGUUCGUUGGGUAGGGGAGCGUUCUGUAAGCCUGUGAAGGUGUGUCGUGAGGCAUGCUGGAGGUAUCAGAAGUGCGAAUGCUGACAUAAGUAACGAUAAAGCGGGUGAAAAGCCCGCUCGCCGGAAGACCAAGGGUUCCUGUCCA
rnacentral:rRNA from 1 species